UUCUCUUCUGGCAAUCUUUCAACAAGGCAAGGACCUACGCAUUGUCAUAUGCAGACACGACUCAUAAAUCCAAAGGGAGAGAGACAAACGCGAUGCACUUUAGGCGCACGCGCAGAUGUUUUUACAGGAUUUUCAUUAGUGUCAGCACUCGUUGCACGCAUUUGAAUAAAUAAAGUGUGCAUGUGCGAGUGUGUGUGUGUGCGUACACCAAACAAAACAUGUCAGGUCCCAAAAAUAAUUGAAAAGAAUGAAGGAACGUGAGCGCGCGCGUCUAUAAAUCAACGCGGCAGGAUAAUGCAUCCACGAGUGUUGAGCACUAAUUUUGGCUCGUUGCGGCAUCUGUCCAGGAGCCAAAGCAGGAGCAGGAGCAGCAGCAGCAAUAACAAAGCGGCCUCCAUUGAACACGUCGAGUGGCUUCGCUUGAAUGCAAUGCGAGAAACGAAGAUCCCUUACAAAGAGAGACGGAGCGCGUAAUAUGAGGCAGCUUGGCUAGCGCACCUGGCCGUGAUUUGGAAACAGAGCUGAGCACGGCUGAGCUAUUUAGAGGCAGACGUGGAACAGGUUGACGACGCACGAAGCGAGCCAACAAACCCGCUUCAUAGCGGUCAGAGCUGACAACAACAUCGACAACAACGACAACAGCAACUGAGUGGUUGUGCCUCCCUUUUCGGAGACGACACAAAUCAGAUCAACCGUUGCCUGAACCGUGAUGAACCUGCCGCGCAGCGAGCGAGCUCUGGUCCCGUUGCUUGUGCUCUGCGCCGCCUGAUGUUGCAACAGUGCCACAGUCCACAAGCGGUUGACGACACACGAACCAGCGCGAUUCACAGUUUGCAGCUUCAGCAACGUCAGCAACGUCAGCAGCGUCAGCUCUCCGUCUGCAGGGGAGAGUUGCGGACAGUCGCGCUCCCUUGUCCAUGUGGGGGGCGUGCAUCCAACACACAUGUAUCCGUGCAACCACAGGCCAUGCACGCCGCCGGCGGCGUGUUGCACUUUUGGUUUUUUUCUUUUUUUGCUUUAAAAAUUAAGCUCAUUGAAAAUGGCGGACAGGGUAUAUUAGUUCUUUGGAAUGUGCCACA